rnacentral:rRNA from 1 species
AGCUAAUACUUGCUUUAGCACUCUUGAUUAAUUUCUUGAGUGUGUACUUGUUAAGCCUUUUAAGAAAAAAGUUAUUAACUUAAGGAAUUAUAACAAAGAAGUAACACGUAAUGGAUCCGUCCAUUUUUAGUGUGUAUCAAUCGAGUUUCUGACCUAUCAGCUUUUGAUGUUAGGGUAUUGGCCUAACAUGGCUAUGACGGGUAACGGGGAAUUAGAGUUCGAUUCCGGAGAGGGAGCCUGAGAAAUAGCUACCACAUCUAAGGAAGGCAGCAGGCGCGUAAAUUACCCAAUUCUAAAGAAGAGAGGUAGUGACAAGAAAUAACAAUACAAGGCCAAUCUGGCUUUGUAAUUGGAAUGAUGGGAAUUUAAAACCUUCCCAAAACUCAAUUGGAGGGCAAGUCUGGUGCCAGCAGCCGCGGUAAUUCCAGCUCCAAUAGCGUAUAUUAAAAUUGUUGCAGUUAAAACGCUCGUAGUUGAAUUUCAAAGAAUCGAUAUUUUAAGCAACGCUUUUAGCUUAAUCCACAUAACUGAUACUACGUAUCGACUUUGUGCGAAUUUUGCUAUUAUGUGUUCUUUUAAUUAAAAUGAUUCUUUUUAAGGUCUUUCUCUUGCUUCGGCAUUUGAAGAUCUUGUUACUUUGAGUAAAUUAGAGUGUUCAAAGCAAACAGAUAUAGCAUUGCGCGUUUGAAUACUACAGCAUGGAAUAACAAAAUUGAACAAGUCAGAAUUUUGUUCUUUUUUCUUAUUUUGGCUUAGUUACGAUUAAUAGGAGUAGCUUGGGGGCAUUUGUAUUCAGAUGUCAGAGGUGAAAUUCUUAGAUUUUCUGGAGACAAACAACUGCGAAAGCAUUUGCCUAAAAUACUUCCAUUAAUCAAGAACGAAAGUUAAGGGAGUGAAGACGAUCAGAUACCGUCGUAAUCUUAACCAUAAACUAUGCCGACUAGGCUUUGGAUGAAAGAUUUUAAAAUAAGAGUUUUUUCUCUGAGGAGUUAAAACUCUUAGAUUGCUUCCUUCAGUGCCUUAUGAGAAAUCAAAGUCUUUGGGUUCUGGGGCGAGUAUUCGCGCAAGCGAGAAAGUUAAAAGAAUUGACGGAAGGGCACCACCAGGCGUGGAGCUUGCGGCUUAAUUUGACUCAACACGGGAAAACUCACUAGUUUAAGACAAGAGUAGGAUUGACAGAUUAAUAGCUCUUUCUUGAUUUCUUGGAUGGUGAUGCAUGGCCGUUUUUAGUUCGUGAAUAUGAUUUGUCUGGUUAAUUCCGAUAACGAACGAGAUCUUAACCUGCUAAUUAGCGGCAAAUACGAUAUAUUCUUACGUGGAAUUGCAUACUUAUGGUUUGUCUCUAUUGAGCUGCAUAAUAAUGAAGGAUCGUGAUUGCUUUUCGUGUCAAUCUUUCUUAAUCGAAUCGUUGAUGUGUUUUGUAUAUCUCGUUCUUUCAUUACCUUGCAAUCACUCAUUUGCCUUAUCAUACUGUUUCUCUUUUGCGUAAGAAUGUAUUUGCUUGAUUGUAAAGCUUCUUAGAGGAACGAUGUGUGUCUAACACAAG